GGUCGUCCCUCCGACC
rnacentral:misc_RNA from 1 species